AAAACAUUUCUUUAUGAAUAUAAUUAUAAGUAAUCUCUGCCCAAUGAAAUUUGAAUGGCUGCAGUAUUUUAACUGUACAAAGGUAGCAUAAUCAAUUGAUUUUUAAUUGAAAUCUAGAAUGAAUGAGGUGAUGAAUUAAUUUCUUUAUUAAAAUUAUAAAUUGAAUUUAAAUUUAAGGUUAUAAUUCCUUAAUUUAUUUAUGGGACGAGAAGACCCUAUAGAAUUUUAUUAUUUUUAUUUUAUUAAAAUAUUUUUUAUAAAUUGAAAAUAAUUUAUUUGGGAGGAAUAUUAAAUUUAUAAACUUUAUUUAAAUUUAAACAAAUAUAAUUGAAUUAUUUAGAUUUUAAUUUUAAAUAAUAAAUUAAAUUACCUUAGGGAUAACAGCAUAAUAUUUUUGGAAAGAUCUUAUUUAUAAAAAUGUUU
rnacentral:rRNA from 1 species